CCCUCUUAGGUUUGUCUGGCUGGG
rnacentral:siRNA from 1 species